AGCAGCCGCGGUAAUUCCAGCUCCAAUAGCGUAUAUUAAAGUUGCUGCAGUUAAAAAGCUCGUAGUUGAAUUUCGGGAUCGAUAUAUCGGUCGUGCCUCGGUACGUACUGGUAUUUUCGGUUUCUCCCUUCUGACGAACCUUGAUGUCAUUAAUUUGGUGUCUUGGGGAAUCAGGACUGUUACUUUGAAAAAUUAGAGUGUUUAAAGCAGGCUCACGCUUGAAUACAUUAGCAUGGAAUAAUGAAAUAGGACGUUUGAUUCUAUUUUGUUGGUUUCUAGGAUCGACGUAAUGAUUAAUAGGGAUAGUUGGGGGCAUUAGUAUUCAAUUGUCAGAGGUGAAAUUCUUGGAUUUAUUGAAGACUAACUACUGCGAAAGCAUUUGCCAAGGAUGUUUUCAUUAAUCAAGAACGAAAGUUAGGGGAUCGAAGACGAUCAGAUACCGUCGUAGUC
rnacentral:rRNA from 1 species